GAGAAUUGAAGCUGAAAUGAAAGUCGAGGGAGCUACCUGACACAAACCAAACACCCGGGAGAAAUUUAGACACCCCACAAACAUGGGGAUGCCGGGGGCAAAUUUAAAUGAUUAAAUCUACCAAAAGACGAAGAAGAGUAAAGAACAAACAAAGUGCAGGGCAAGACUACUGGAUGAUUCAAAGGACAACACCACGUCUCUGAUCUCCCUGCUAUAAAGCUGGAUCUGAAAAUUGCAAUUCAGAUCCUUUCUCAGUUGUUUGAAAUUUAUUCAACCCAAUCUUUUUCUCUACAUAAUACAAAGAGAGAAUCGAAAAAGUAAAUGGCAGCCGUUGAAGUUAAUCAGUUCGCUCAGUGCAUCACUUGCCACGCUUGGAGCGCGGAUCGAUCUAUGAUUGCAUUUUGUCCAAACAACAAUGAAGUUCACAUAUAUAGAUUGUCCCAAGACAAGUGGGAGAAGGUCCAUGUUCUUCAAAAGCAUGACCAGAUUGUUUGUGGGAUAGAUUGGAGUGCGAGAUCAAACAGAAUUGUUACUGCAUCUCAUGAUCGAAAUUCAUAUGUCUGGAACCAAGAAGGAUCAGAAUGGGUACCGACCCUUGUUAUACUCAGGCUAAACCGCGCUGCACUUUGUGUGCAGUGGAGCCCAAAAGAGAACAAGUUCGCUGUUGGAAGUGGGGCUAAAACUGUUUGUAUAUGCUACUAUGAGCAAGACAACAACUGGUGGGUCAGUAAACUUAUCAGGAAAAGACAUGAUUCCUCGGUGACAAGUGUUGCCUGGCAUCCUAAUAAUAUUCUUCUUGCGACGACAUCUACAGAUGGAAAAUGUCGAGUGUUUUCCACUUUUAUUAAAGGUGUUGAUACAAGGGAUUCCAAAGCAGGCUCUGUCUCAGAUUCAAAAUUUGGAGAGCAAAUUGUUCAGCUUGAUCUCUCGUUUUCCUGGGCAUUUGGUGUGAAGUGGUCGCCUAGUGGCAAUACCUUGGCUUACGUAGGACAUAAUUCCAUGAUUUAUUUUGUUGAUGAUGUUGGUCCAUCUCCAUUGGCACAGAAUGUUGCAUUUCGCGAUUUACCUCUCCGUGAUGUCUUAUUUGUUUCUGAGAAAAUGGUCAUAGGAGUGGGAUUCGACUGCAACCCUAUGGUUUUUGCAGCAGAUGAAAGAGGAAUAUGGAGCUUUAUCAGGUUCCUUGGUGAAAGAAAAUCAACACUUUCAGGUUCAAGAUACAGUUCACAGAUUUUCCCAUUUUACAACUGGAUGGAGCUGUGAUAGAUUACCAUAUGGUUUCAAGACAUGUACAGGACUUCAAUAUGCCACUUCUGAAGUUAUUAUAUACUUUAGUUUGAGUUGCUCAUAAACACAUUAGCUACUGCUUUUUUGCAAACUAGCAAGAUGCGAAAAUGGAUUGCUCAGAGAUGUGUCACAAGGCAGUCAGCCUGAUGAAGUGAAAAUUCAAUAUCCCAAUUUUUUUAGGAUCUCGACUUUUUUAUUUCUGUCGUGGCCAUUUCAGCCAAAUUUCAAACUUCUUGGUCCUCCUUACAACUGGUUUUUAUAUGUUCUAUGCCUUAAGCUUAUUCGUACGGUUACUUGGUAGAAGCAGGUGUUACAUUAGAUCACUAAAGUGGAAGUACAUUUAUAGAAUAUCAGGUGCUGUUUUCCUAUUUUUGUAAUUGUCUUCGGGCUUUACACAUGGUCAAUAAAACUUUCUAACAGCAGACUGGCUUUUCCACUCUCUUUGGCAGUUUUCUGAAGCAUUUGGAAAAUUUUAUGGCCAAUCGAAGUAUGGAGCGAGCAAUGAUGGCAUUGAACCUUCAAGGUCACGUGGAGGCGUUCACGAGAAUUGCAUAAGUUGUAUUAUGUCUCUUACAGAAUCAGGGAGUUCUAGAAAAACA